rnacentral:rRNA from 1 species
AAUAAUUCACAAUGGGGGCAACCCUGAUGGUGCAACGCCGCGUGGAGGAUGACGGUCUUCGGAUUGUAAACUCCUGUCAUCCGGGAGAAAGACCUGGCUGUGAAUAGCAGACAGGGUUGAUAGUACCGGAAGAGGAAGGGACGGCUAACUUCGUGCCAGCAGCCGCGGUAAUACGAAGGUCCCAAGCGUUGUUCGGAAUCACUGGGCGUAAAGGGUGCGUAGGCGGUUUGGUAAGUCAGAUGUGAAAUCCCGGGGCUCAACCCCGGAACUGCAUCCGAUACUGCCGGACUAGAGGACUGGAGAGGUGACUGGAAUUCUCGGUGUAGCAGUGAAAUGCGUAGAGAUCGAGAGGAACACUCGUGGCGUAAGCGAGUCACUGGACAGUAUCUGACGCUGAGGCACGAAGGCCAGGGUAGC